rnacentral:rRNA from 1 species
AUUGAACGCUGGCGGCAGGCCUAACACAUGCAAGUCGAGCGAGCGGCGGACGGGUGAGUACUGUAUGGGGAUCUGCCCGAUAGAGGGGGAUAACUACUGGACACGGUGGCUAAUACCGCAUACUAUCGGCUGAACCCAUAUGGGAUUAGCUAGUGGGGGGGGUAAAGGCUCACAUAGGAGACGCUCUCUCGCUGGUAUGAGAGGAUGAUCAGCCACACUGGGACUGAGACACGGCCCAGACUCCUACGGGAGGCAGCAGUGGGGAAUAUUGCACAAUGGGCGCAAGCAGGAUGCAGCCAUGCCGCGUGUAUGAAGAAGGCCUUAGGGUUGUAAAGUACUUUCAGCGGGGAGGCGUUACCCGCAGAAGAAGCACCGGCUAACUCCGUGCCAGCAGCCGCGGUAAUUC